UUAGGUCUACCUAAUGAGUGGGAUAAUAAUUUUAUCUCACUAGAAAGUUUAUUUUGCUCACUUACAUGCUUUUACUUCCUGCUUUGAAGAUGCUGCUGGUGGUGUCUCAUUUGCAUAGUACGCAGCAAAUGAGUUUUACUAUUGAAAAGCCUGUCAUUAAUGCAGUAUGAAACUGGUACAAGCAAGAGAAGUUUCUCCUUUUUGGGUGCAUCUUAUGGUUUGUUACAGAGCUAUAGCUAUUUAAGGCCUUUUCUCACAGUUCUUUGGACUGGAUGAAGUUAUGUAAGAAAUGGCCCCAUCUCAUCUAAGAAAACCCAGACACAUGAAAGCAAGUGAAUAGAUGUCAGUCAUGUGUACAUUGGCCUAGAGACGAGAUAAAUGUUGAGAGUUUCUUCCAAAUCUUUCUCUCUUUAUGGCUUCUGAUAGUUCAGUGUUAACAGCCCUUGAUUCCUAUGAAAAAAUGAUUUGAUAUUAAUACUGGGCCAAUGGAAAACAUGUUUAUGUUUGGUAUCAUGUUAACAGUCUCGGAGGAAUGACUAUGCAUCUCCUUAGCUGAACCAAGCUUUGCUUAACCAGAGUUAAUUGACAGGUUUGCAUGGGGUUUUGCAGCUUCUCUGUGAUGGAUGUAGCUGCUGACAAACACAAGCAGUUCUGCGACAUGGAGCUGAGGUUGCUAGCUUACCCCUUGCUUUGCAGCAUGCUUCAUCUCAAGGCACUUGUUACUCAGGACGUGGGAGGUGCAAACUCCCCUUUUGGAAAUUUCUCAUUUCAAAUGGAUCUUGGGUUCAGUUUCCACAGGGAGAUGAAUGAAAGCUUUUGUAAUCACAAUGAAACGUUAAACAAAUUCUUAAGUUUUCCUAUAGCACACAGAGACCACAAAGCACAAUGGUGAUAUCAGUCUAUCUAUUUUAGCAUAAAGGAUCUGAGCAUAGCUUGAUAUGUGGGGUUUUGUCCAAGUUAGAUGUCUUUGUCACUUGCAGAGAACUUUAGCAAAAAAGAAGUCCUCUCCAGCAGCCAUAAAUCAUUAUUUUACAGGAAUUUGGUUUUGUUUACAAAUGCCUAUAAUCUCAAACAAGUGGUUUAUUAUAUCAUGAGAAACAUCAGUCACAGGAGAGUAACAGCAUCCUGAAUUGGUGGUUUGUAGCUCGAGAGCAAUGUACAACAAAGCCAAGGCAGACAUGAUCGGUCCACUUAAUCUUUGGGUUUUACUAGGAAUCAGAGGGUUUUUUUCAGUAAAUUGGUACCAUGUAGAUCUAUUUGAAUAAUCUUGCUGUUCACGAGAACAAGUGCCUUUUGUCUCAGCUGUAUGCUUAUAUUUAUAAAUGCUACAUGGUCACCUUUUCCUAAGCCUUUUCUGAACUGCUAAAAUAAUAAAACACAAGAAGUAUUAAUUUUUCUUACCUAGUGGCUGCAUUUUAUUGGUCUGUCAACUUCAAGGAAAGAAUUGUUGUCAGGUAAAGCCUGCAGAUCAAUUAGGUAGUGAUCACCCCUAUUUGCUGUAAAGAUUUCGUGCAUGUUAUUGCUGACCUGAAACAAAUUUCCUGGUGUUUUUCAUGGAUGAUAUGUGAAAGAAAGGAAGGCAGAGGAGAAGUAGGAGAAGGUAUUCUAGAAAUAAACCACUUUAUAGACAGCUAUGUAUCAAAAUCCAGCAAGGGACAUGCAUUCUUCUGGUGGAUAUUUUUGAUUUGUUAAGUCACUUGACCUCUCUUUGGUCACUUGGCAGAGACCAAAUAUAUUCAUGAAAUGACGGCUUCUGUGCACAAAUGAUUUACAAGCUUCUUUGCUUUCUCUCACCACCCUUCUUGAGACAAAAAACAGUUACAGCACUUAAAUAAUACCGAUUGCUUAGACUUAAGUGUUUCAGUUAGUGAAUGCACAAAACAAUCAUGUGAGAGUGCUAUAUAACCUGAAGAUGUGAGACUUGGGAACUUCAUCAAGGUAAUAUAGUUAAUAAUUCUUACAUUUUUUUUCUUUUUCCGGGAUUGAGAUAGGUUAUCUUUCAAUCCAGCUUAGUAAAAUCAAUCAUUCAUGAACUGCCUUUUGCCUCUACAGAAUCUUCACACAACAGUUGACCCUUUCAAUUGCCUCCACUAUUUUCUUUUGCAAAUGUUUCUCCAGCUGUUGCCCUGAUUUACCUACUUUUUAAUGGUUUGCUCUCAUCUCAGACUUGAGGCUUAUUUCAGUCCUUAGAAACCUUCUAAAGUGAUGAUCUUUCCACUCUCUCCAAAACAAACAUUAUUUAAAAGCACAACAUGCCUUAAGUAUAUGGCCAGACAAAUCCUUUUCUCAAGCUCACAUUCCUGUUUUAGGGACCUUAUUUUAUUUGUCCUGGCAAAAAUAGUUAAAAUUAGGUAGAAUAUGUACGCAUCCAUAAUUUCAAGGCUGAAACAAAAUUUCCUAAAGAUCUUUCCUAAAGAUCCUUGGGGGAAAAAAGGCUCUUCCUUAGGAAAAUGUCACUAAACAUUGCCAUUCUUUCUUUACAAGAUGAAUAUUCUGAAAGUAUUUUGCUCCAUUUCUUACCUACUCCAGAUUUUUUCAGCAUUCUUCAAACAGGUCUAGAAAGUCAAGGUACUUGCCUGAGAUUAUUUUUGUUGGAGCAGUCAAAAAAGGGCACUUAAGACUCAGAAAAA